rnacentral:rRNA from 1 species
AGAGUUUGAUCCUGGCUCAGGAUGAACGCCGGCGGUGUGCCUAAUACAUGCAAGUCGUACGCACUGGCCCAACUGAUUGAUGGUGCUUGCACCUGAUUGACGAUGGAUCACCAGUGAGUGGCGGACGGGUGAGUAACACGUAGGUAACCUGCCCCGGAGCGGGGGAUAACAUUUGGAAACAGAUGCUAAUACCGCAUAACAACAAAAGCCACAUGGCUUUUGUUUGAAAGAUGGCCUUGGCUAUCACUCUGGGAUGGACCUGCGGUGCAUUAGCUAGUUGGUAAGGUAACGGCUUACCAAGGCGAUGAUGCAUAGCCGAGUUGAGAGACUGAUCGGCCACAAUGGAACUGAGACACGGUCCAUACUCCUACGGGAGGCAGCAGUAGGGAAUCUUCCGCAAUGGGCGCAAGCCUGAUGGAGCAACACCGCGUGAGUGAAGAAGGGUUUCGGCUCGUAAAGCUCUGUUGUUGGAGAAGAACGUGCGUGAGAGUAACUGUUCACGCAGUGACGGUAUCCAACCAGAAAGUCACGGCUAACUACGUGCCAGCAGCCGCGGU